rnacentral:rRNA from 1 species
AUUGAACGCUGGCGGCAUGCCUUACACAUGCAAGUCGAACGGCAGCAUGAUCUAGCUUGCUAGAUUGAUGGCGAGUGGCGAACGGGUGAGUAAUACAUCGGAACGUGCCCUGUAGUGGGGGAUAACUAGUCGAAAGAUUAGCUAAUACCGCAUACGACCUGAGGGUGAAAGUGGGGGACCGCAAGGCCUCAUGCUAUAGGAGCGGCCGAUGUCUGAUUAGCUAGUUGGUGAGGUAAAGGCUCACCAAGGCGACGAUCAGUAGCUGGUCUGAGAGGACGAUCCGCCACACUGGGACUGAGACACGGCCCAGACUCCUACGGGAGGCAGCAGUGGGGAAUUUUGGACAAUGGGCGAAAGCCUGAUCCAGCAAUGCCGCGUGUGUGAAGAAGGCCUUCGGGUUGUAAAGCACUUUUGUCCGGAAAGAAAUGGCUCUGGUUAAUACCUGGGGUCGAUGACGGUACCGGAAGAAUAAGGACCGGCUAACUACGUG